UACGAAGGGGGCUAGCGUUGCUCGGAAUUACUGGGCGUAAAGGGCGCGUAGGCGGAUGUUUAAGUCAGAGGUGAAAGCCCAGGGCUCAACCUUGGAACUGCCUUUGAUACUGGGCAUCUUGAGUAUGGGAGAGGUGAGUGGAACUCCGAGUGUAGAGGUGAAAUUCGUAGAUAUUCGGAAGAACACCAGUGGCGAAGGCGACUCACUGGCCCAUUCUUGACGCUGAGGCGCGAAAGCUAGGGGAGCAAACGGG
rnacentral:rRNA from 1 species